UGGGGAAUAUUGCACAAUGGGCGCAAGCCUGAUGCAGCCAUGCCGCGUGUGUGAAGAAGGCCUUCGGGUUGUAAAGCACUUUCAGCGGGGAGGAAGGCGUUAAGGUUAAUAACCUUGUCGAUUGACGUUACCCGCAGAAGAAGCACCGGCUAACUCCGUGCCAGCAGCCGCGGUAAUACGGAGGGUGCAAGCGUUAAUCGGAAUUACUGGGCGUAAAGCGCACGCAGGCGGUCUGUCAAGUCGGAUGUGAAAUCCCCGGGCUUAACCUGGGAACUGCAUUCGAAACUGGCAGGCUAGAGUCUUGUAGAGGGGGGUAGAAUUCCAGGUGUAGCGGUGAAAUGCGUAGAGAUCUGGAGGAAUACCGGUGGCGAAGGCGGCCCCCUGGACAAAGACUGACGCUCAGGUGCGAAAGCGUGGGGAGCAAACAGG
rnacentral:rRNA from 1 species